rnacentral:rRNA from 1 species
UUCUUGUCUUUUUUUUGGGGAUAAAGUCGUACAAGGUUUCCGUAGGUGAACCUGCGGAAGGAUCAUUACCGAGUGUAGGGUUCCUAGCGAGCCCAACCUCCCACCCGUGUUUACUGUAACCUUAGUUGCUUCGGCGGGCCCGCCUUUAAGGCCGCCGGGGGGCAUCAGCCCCCGGGCCCGCGCCCGCCGGAGACACCACGAACUCUGUCUGAUCUAGUGAAGUCUGAGUUGAUUGUAUCGCAAUCAGUUAAAACUUUCAACAAUGGAUCUCUUGGUUCCGGCAUCGAUGAAGAACGCAGCGAAAUGCGAUAACUAGUGUGAAUUGCAGAAUUCCGUGAAUCAUCGAGUCUUUGAACGCACAUUGCGCCCCCUGGUAUUCCGGGGGGCAUGCCUGUCCGAGCGUCAUUGCUGCCCAUCAAGCACGGCUUGUGUGUUGGGUCGUCGUCCCCUCUUCGGGGGGGACGGGCCCCAAAGGCAGCGGCGGCACCGCGUCCGAUCCUCGAGCGUAUGGGGCUUUGUCACCCGCUCUGUAGGCCCGGCCGGCGCUUGCCGAACGCAAAACAACCAUUCUUUCCAGGUUGACCUCGGAUCAGGUAGGGAUACCCGCUGACUUAGCUUCUUUUUAACCCGGAAGAAAA